rnacentral:rRNA from 1 species
UACAGAGGUCCCAAGCGUUGUUCGGAUUCACUGGGCGUAAAGGGCUCGUAGGUGGCCAACUAAGUCAGACGUGAAAUCCCUCGGCUUAACCGGGGAACUGCGUCUGAUACUGGAUGGCUUGAGUUCGGGAGAGGGAUGCGGAAUUCCAGGUGUAGCGGUGAAAUGCUUAGAUAUCUGGAGGAACACCGGUGGCGAAGGCGGCAUCCUGGACCGGUAUUGACGCUGAGGCGCGAAAGCCAGGGGAGCAAACGGG